CCGUGUUGUAGAAUUUAUUGUUGUGCUGUGAGUUUUGUUUGAUAUAUUUUUGAUGUUUUAGUUUUUCUGUAAUAUUUGGAUGUUUCUCAGUAGUAUUUAGAUUUAUUUUAUUUAUACCGUUAUUGUUUUCCGUAUUCUGUUGGAUUUUCUUAUGUUACUUUGAGUUUCAGAGUUGUUAUUUUUUUACACUACUGAUUUUUCUAUUAUUUGAUUGUUCUAUUGUUUUCCGCUGUAGAUAUUAUUAAUAUUUUUUUCUUUCUUACAUUGCAUCAAAUACAUGAGAGCUAUCGAGGGGAAUCUUCUGGCCUUGGCCUGACUUGCUAGCCUACAACACUGAGAAAUGGCUAUGAGUAGGUGACACAAGGAGUGACGUGAUAGAUCAAACCGAGGAAAUUCAUAGAGAUGGGGCCAAGUCACGAUUUAGCUUUAAUAUUUUUUUUAACAAUUUUUGUUGUAAAAUAAAAUAAAAUUAAUUAAUUUACAAUAAACUAA